rnacentral:lncRNA from 1 species
GUUCUGGUGAAGCUCCGUUUACAAACAGUUGGAAGGUUGGCCACACAAUAACUGAUCUCUGGUCUGGACUUCACCUAGGUUCACACAAUAACCACCGAGUGGUGACAAAAGGAGGACUGGCCACAUCACCGUGUGUUAUAGUUGGGUUGUGCCCCCCACCCUCCAGCUUUUCCAGAGUUCAAAGUUAUCACUGGAGCAGAAGUAGCAGUGCAGGAUUCUGGCCCCCAUGCCUUAGGCCUGAGGCUGUAGCAGGACUGUUACGGUUUGGGUCUGGAUGUCCCCCGUGUGUGAAGAUGGGGUUCGUGGUGCAGUGCUGGGCUCCAGGGCACCAGGAUUAAGGGUGUGAGUGCCACCCGCCCUAAGUAGUCUGGAUAAGAUGAAAAGGGGCAGCGAGACAGUCAACUCUCUCGUUACCUUUGCUGCCUGUGUGUGCCACGUCAUUUCACCUCUGUGAUGCUCGAUUGCCAUCCCAGCCUCGGAGCCGGCUGAUUAUGCACUGAAACCUCUACAACCAUAAGCCAAAUAAACCCCUCCCCUUCCAAUUUUUGGGCUCUGGUAUUUUGUCUGGGCAACGAGAGAAAUGUAACUAACACAAGGGCUCUGCUUCUGCUUAAUUGAUUCGUGUUUCUUCUGCCUGUCUCUCCUCAUUCUGCUGUGCGCUGUAUUUCUCAGUCACAACACUCUUUCUGACAGCUGCUGUUUCCCCCACUUUUACGAAUCGCCACAUAGCGUUGUUCCAGGUUCCAGUGGCCAAAGAGGCUCAGGUGCCCGACAGGCUAGGUCUGAACCCACGGAGAGUCUGUGUUUUCCUCCUUAUUUGAGGGAAUCCAGGAUUUUGGAUUCAGACGUGGAGUGCAAGUAGGCAGAUCGUUUGCCUCCAUUACCAUGUGUUAUUUCUCCCAGAAGAGCUGUGACUGC